UACAGAGGUCUCAAGCGUUGUUCGGAUUCAUUGGGCGUAAAGGGUGCGUAGGUGGCGAGGUAAGUUGGAUGUGAAAUCCCGGGGCUCAACCCCGGAACUGCAUUCAAUACUGCCUUGCUGGAGUACUGGAGAGGAGAUUGGAAUUUACGGUGUAGCAGUGAAAUGCGUAGAUAUCGUAAGGAAGACCAGUGGCGAAAGCGGCUUCCUGGUCCGACACCGACGUUCAGGCACGAAAGCGUGGGGAGCAAACAGG
rnacentral:rRNA from 1 species